GCAAAAGUGUGUAUACAUAGAAUAUUUGUGGAAGGGAGAAUCAGUAGAAAAAGAAUUUCGAGUUGAACAGUGGAAAGUAAUGCCAAAAAUAAAUUGUGAAUAAUCCUACAAAAAAAAAAAAAUUGUUAGCUAAAACGAUAGAUCUACCCGGUCGGUCGGCUAAGUGCUAAUAUCUUUUUGAGUCGGGACGAGCAUCGAAAGGGAACUAAAAAUGGUUACGCAUAUUGUAAAUAUGCAGAAUUGGAUGGGGGAUCUUUGGUGAAAGCUAGUAAUGGCGGAAGGUGCUAUGGAAUGAAGAAUAAAGUGAACAUAUUGUAGAUAAUGAGGCCUCAGGAAAGGGUGAAAGAAGUAGAAAGAUAAACGGAGGGCGUAUGUACACGAAAAUAUAUUGGAAAUCCAAAAGGAGAAGGCAACUGCUACAAUGCCAUGAAUUGUUUAUCCAAUUCCAAAAAAUCCUUCUUUGAACCUAUAAAAAGCUUACAAAAGUCUAUGUCACGUUUCCUAUAGAGGGGAUAAAACCGACGCAGUCCCAUCGUUGGAUUUCAGUCUGCGUUUGCACCCCGGCCAGUAAUACCGGUCCAUUUAGCAUGGUAGUACCGUUCACAAAGCCAGAAGGUGAUGACGCUAACGGAUUCCGAGCCACUUUCGGCGCGAGAUAAUGGAAACUAACAUUCAAGAGAAAUUUAUCAAGUAUUUAGAGCGUUAACUUAAAAUAGCGACCAAAAUACGAACAAUUCAAAUACUGUAAAUGGGAGAGCAGCAAUAUAUUUUUUAAGUUGCGAGUAAAAGAAAAUCAAAAACGGAUAUGUUUAAAAAACAACAAAUCAAGCAAAACGCAGGAAAUAAGACAAUAAUGAAAAAGUACAGUCAAGAGUAAAAGAUCUUCGUACCUGUAAUUUCACAGAAAAAUUUGUUUAAAGGAUUGGAGAUCCAACAGAUUUUGACGACAUCAAAUAUUGCCAACCUGGAGGACUUGAAACCCAAACAAACAUUAGCCUUAAAAAAGAAAAAAGAAAACACAGAAGAAAAUACGCGAAAGAGCGCCAAGUGUUGAUAGCAGAAGACAAAUUUAUAUCAAAGCUCAAUAAGAAUUCGAAAUAUAUAAAUAAUAGCUAAUUUAAUAAUGGACGACUAUUUACAACUAUUUUAGCUUUAUUUAGUCGUAAUAACCAAUUAGAACCAAAAAAUAAGGGACAAAUUUGGAAAAUUGAUAAGCAUCAGAAAAUAACACAACCACAAAGCGAGCGCAUAACUAUAAUUAUGGAAAGCAUAAUGUACCUGAUACAUAGAGUAAAGCGUUAUUUUAC